CCCCGAUCCUCGUUUGAUCUCGGAAGCUAAGAUAGGUNGGGCCUGGUUAGUACUUGGAUGGGAGACCGCCUGGGAAUACCUGGUGCUGUAAGCUU
rnacentral:rRNA from 1 species